UAAGCUCAGGAAAUGUGGGAUAGAGGAGUGGACAGUGAGGUGGUUUGAGAACUGACUGGAUGGCAGAGCUCAGAGGGUUGUGAGCAGCAGAGCAGUCUAGAGAUACAGUUCUAGAGAACUGUGAGACCUUCUCUGGAGAUAUUCAAGACCCACCUGGAUGUGAUCUUGUCUGAUGUGCGAUGGGUGUCCCUGCUUGCGCAGGAGGGUUGGACCAGAUGAUCUCCGGAGAUCCCUUCCAACCUCAACCAUUCUGUGAUUCUGUAAUGCUGUGAAGUCUUAGCACCACUCACCCUACUGCUCUGUGGCGAUUUGCACCCCACAGGGCUCAAAGAGCAGCCAUGGUGAGGGAAAACAUUAACACACCCUUGAUAUGGACUGAAUUAUGUGUUUUAAGGUGAUUCAAGUCAAGCUGAUGAAACAGUUCCUAUGAUUAUUGUGAAUUCAUGUUGUUGUUCCAAAAAUAAAAAGGGAAAGACAAGGAAGUGAGAUACCUAUGUCGUACACACUGAAGAGAGGAGAGGAAUGAUAAAUUAUUCUGAGUCCCUGGAUACAUGGUUCAGGUCCUUCACAGAGAAAAACAACAGCUGCCAUUUACAAGUAACGGCUUGCAUUCGAGGAACUUGGACAUCCACCGAGUGACCACAUUGACCCAGGGAUGGUACCAGCAGGCACUGCAUGGAGAGCUGCAAGCAAUGAGGGAAUUUUCAGUGCCUCUGGAGUGAGACCACCAGAAAGUUUGAAAUGGUGGAGCGGUGCCUUCAACUGAAAUAAGGUUUCCACCCCAAAGACCCCCAAAGGGUUUUUUUCCUCACCCUAGUACGAGCUCUGUUCUUUGCUGAGUCCCAGCUGAAUUCAGACCAGGUUGGGGAGUGGUGCUCCAGUGUUCCCUGUCUUCUGCUAUGAUUUGUAAAGACUUUAUGCCAACCCCCUAUGUU
rnacentral:lncRNA from 1 species